CAGCCUCUGGACCCUCAAGGUUCCCCCCCCUCUGCAGCUCUGUUCCACUCAAGAACAGUGAACCCACUUGUGACCAGUCAAACCACUUCCUGGAUCUGAAUAACCUGUGUGCUUUACAGAACUCUCUCGUGACCAGUCAAGCCUCUAACUGAACCUGAUCCAUUGUAGCACAUUUAUUGUUCAAUAAACUUUUUGAACUUUU